rnacentral:tRNA from 1 species
UCGGUAGUAGCUCAGCUGGUUAGAGCAGUCCUUACGGGGAUUAUGUCGCAGGUUCGAAUCCUGUCUACCGAC